AGCGAACGUUAGCGGCGCGCCUAAUACAUGCAAGUCGAACGAUACCAGAGAGCUUGCUUUCUGGGAAAGUGGCGCACGGGUGCGUAACGCGUAUGCAACCUACCUUAAUCAGGGGGAUAGCCUCUCGAAAGAGAGAUUAACACCGCAUAAAAUCACACUUCGGCAUCGAAGAAUGAUCAAAUAUUUAUAGGAUUAAGAUGGGCAUGCGUGACAUUAGCUAGUUGGUGAGGUAAUGGCUCACCAAGGCUACGAUGUCUAGGGGAUCUGAGAGGAUGGCCCCCCACACUGGUACUGAGACACGGACCAGACUCCUACGGGAGGCAGCAGUAAGGAAUAUUGGUCAAUGGAGGCAACUUUGAACCAGCCAUGCCGCGUGCAGGAAGACGGCCCUAUGGGUUGUAAACUGCUUUUAUACGGGAAUAAAUCACUUUACGUGUAAAGUGUUGAAUGUACUGUAAGAAUAAGGAUCGGCUAACUCCGUGCCAGCCGCCGCAGUAAGAC
rnacentral:rRNA from 1 species